rnacentral:rRNA from 1 species
AUUGGGACUGAGAUACGGCCCAGACUCCUACGGGAGGCAGCAGUGGGGAAUAUUGCACAAUGGGCGCAAGCCUGAUGCAGCGACGCCGCGUGCGGGAUGACGGCCUUCGGGUUGUAAACCGCUUUUGACUGGGAGCAAGCCCUUCGGGGUGAGUGUACCUUUCGAAUAAGCACCGGCUAACUACGUGCCAGCAGCCGCGGUAAUACGUAGGGUGCAAGCGUUAUCCGGAAUUAUUGGGCGUAAAGGGCUCGUAGGCGGUUCGUCGCGUCCGGUGUGAAAGUCCAUCGCUUAACGGUGGAUCCGCGCCGGGUACGGGCGGGCUUGAGUGCGGUAGGGGAGACUGGAAUUCCCGGUGUAACGGUGGAAUGUGUAGAUAUCGGGAAGAACACCAAUGGCGAAGGCAGGUCUCUGGGCCGUCACUGACGCUGAGGAGCGAAAGCGUGGGGAGCGAACAGGAUUAGAUACCCUGGUAGUCCACGCCGUAAACGGUGGAUGCUGGAUGUGGGGACCAUUCCACGGUCUCCGUGUCGGAGCCAACGCGUUAAGCAUCCCGCCUGGGGAGUACGGCCGCAAGGCUAAAACUCAAAGAAAUUGACGGGGGCCCGCACAAGCGGCGGAGCAUGCGGAUUAAUUCGAUGCAACGCGAAGAACCUUACCUGGGCUUGACAUGUUCCCGACAGCCGUAGAGAUACGGUUUCCCUUCGGGGCGGGUUCACAGGUGGUGCAUGGUCGUCGUCAGCUCGUGUCGUGAGAUGUUGGGUUAAGUCCCGCAACGAGCGCAACCCU